rnacentral:rRNA from 1 species
AUUGAACGCUGGCGGCAGGCCUAACACAUGCAAGUCGAGCGGUAGCACAGAGAGCUUGCUCUCGGGUGACGAGCGGCGGACGGGUGAGUAAUGUCUGGGAAACUGCCUGAUGGAGGGGGAUAACUACUGGAAACGGUAGCUAAUACCGCAUAACGUCGCAAGACCAAAGUGGGGGACCUUCGGGCCUCAUGCCAUCAGAUGUGCCCAGAUGGGAUUAGCUAGUAGGUGGGGUAAUGGCUCACCUAGGCGACGAUCCCUAGCUGGUCUGAGAGGAUGACCAGCCACACUGGAACUGAGACACGGUCCAGACUCCUACGGGAGGCAGCAGUGGGGAAUAUUGCACAAUGGGCGCAAGCCUGAUGCAGCCAUGCCGCGUGUGUGAAGAAGGCCUUCGGGUUGUAAAGCACUUUCAGCGGGGAGGAAGGCGUUAAGGUUAAUAACCUUGGCGAUUGACGUUACCCGCAGAAGAAGCACCGGCUAACUCCGUGCCAGCAACCGCGGUAAUACGGAGGGUGCAAGCGUUAAUCGGAAUUACUGGGCGUAAAGCGCACGCAGGCGGUCUGUCAAGUCGGAUGUGAAAUCCCCGGGCUCAACCUGGGAACUGCAUUCGAAACUGGCAGGCUAGAGUCUUGUAGAGGGGGGUAGAAUUCCAGGUGUAGCGGUGAAAUGCGUAGAGAUCUGGAGGAAUACCGGUGGCGAAGGCGGCCCCCUGGACAAAGACUGACGCUCAGGUGCGAAAGCGUGGGGAGCAAACAGGAUUAGAUACCCUGGUAGUCCACGCCGUAAACGAUGUCGAUUUGGAGGUUGUGCCCUUGAGGCGUGGCUUCCGGAGCUAACGCGUUAAAUCGACCGCCUGGGGAGUACGGCCGCAAGGUUAAAACUCAAAUGAAUUGACGGGGGCCCGCACAAGCGGUGGAGCAUGUGGUUUAAUUCGAUGCAACGCGAAGAACCUUACCUGGUCUUGACAUCCACAGAACUUUCCAGAGAUGGAUUGGUGCCUUCGGGAACUGUGAGACAGGUGCUGCAUGGCUGUCGUCAGCUCGUGUUGUGAAAUGUUGGGUUAAGUCCCGCAACGAGCGCAACCCUUAUCCUUUGUUGCCAGCGGUUCGGCCGGGAACUCAAAGGAGACUGCCAGUGAUAAACUGGAGGAAGGUGGGGAUGACGUCAAGUCAUCAUGGCCCUUACGACCAGGGCUACACACGUGCUACAAUGGCAUAUACAAAGAGAAGCGACCUCGCGAGAGCAAGCGGACCUCAUAAAGUAUGUCGUAGUCCGGAUUGGAGUCUGCAACUCGACUCCAUGAAGUCGGAAUCGCUAGUAAUCGUAGAUCAGAAUGCUACGGUGAAUACGUUCCCGGGCCUUGUACACACCGCCCGUCACACCAUGGGAGUGGGUUGCAAAAGAAGUAGGUAGCUUAACCUUCGGGAGGGCGCUUACCACUUUGUGAUUCAUGACUGGGGUGA